CUAAUGUAACAAAAAGUACUUUCUGAAGCCACUGUGUAUAAGAAUGCUGUUCUUUGACUAUAGCUCAGCCUUCAACACCAUAGCACCCUUCAAGCUCAUCAUUAAACUCAGGGCCCUGGGUCUGAACCUCGCCCUGUGUUACUGGGUCUUGGACUUCCUGACAGGCCGCCCCCCAGUUGGUGAAUGGUAGGAAACAAUACCUCCACUUCGCUGAUCUUCAACACAGGGAACCCAAGUGUGCACGCCUCCAACUCAAUCAUCAAGUUUGCAGGUGACACAACAGUAGAAGCCCUGAUUACCAACAUUGAUGAGACAGCCUACAGGGAGGAGGUGAGGGCCCUGGUGGAGUGGUGCCAGGAAAAUAACCUCUCCCUCAACGUCAACAAAAUGAAGGGGCUGAUCGUGGAGUUCAGGAAACAGCAGAGGGAACACACCUCUAUCCACAUCGACAGGACCGCAGUAGAGAAGGUGAAAACAACAGCGCCUCUUCAAACUCAAGAGGACAUCAACCACCUGAGCCAUGGCCUGUUCACCCCGCUAUCAUCCAGAAGGUGAGGAGCUCCCCUCCUCCUUCCAUCCCUCAUGCACUUCUCUAUGGGACUGUGAAGAGGACACCUGCCCUUUUGGACACCUCCUUUCCCCUGUCUCCUUGCAUCCCGGCAUCUCUCCUUUAAUCCACUGCCCCAUGGGAAUGGGAAGAGGACACCAUCCCCAUAGGAGCGAGACACAUGAAGACUGUCUUGCUUCCCUAAUAAAAGUUGGUACUCUCAAGGGAGGGAAGGAGAGAGUGUUGAAAAAUACGUGGCUACAGACAGAAGAUAUCAUAAUGGCAAAUCAUGAAGGAAUAUGUAUGAUGCUUUGAUACCACUGACACAGACAGGAUGGGAAAAGGAGGGGAAAGAGAGAAGUAGGGAUAAGAAGGGUGAGGAGAGGUGGUGGGAAAGUGCUGACUUAAGUCUUACUUAUACUAGCCACAGUUAGAAACAUAGUAUGGAGCCCCAAGCUAGCUCCAGCCUCCACCUUUCCCCGUCAGAAGACAUGCCCAGACAGAGCACUCCAUCCUGGGCUGAUGGAUGCUUGGGAGCCCCCCUGCCCUCGUUCUUCUGUUCUGGCUUCCUCUGCCCUCAGGGAAGGGGUAGGUUGGGAAAAGAGGAUUCAGACACUUGCGCACACUAAAACACACACCAAAGACUCUCUGGCUGCCUGGGAACUACUCCGAGACAUAUUGAACAGACUGCGAGAGCUGCAAUAUCGCACACAGAGAGAGAGAGAGAGAGAGAGAGAGAGAGAGAGAGAGAGACGUAAACACCAAUCUGUGCCUUCAGGAAUCUUUUAUACAGAUGUCUAUGGUCAUAAUCUCUGUGAGAAGGUAUCAUUAACAAGCAGUGUGUGUGUGUACGAACUGUGUGUCAAAGUGUGUGUGUAUGUAUGUGUCUAAGUGUGUGCGUGCUGAAGUAAAGCUAGAACACAAAAGGGAAACAUCAGUUUAGUAUUCCUCCUAAAAUUGUCCCCAUUACUGCAUAGGUAUGUUUCCAUGACAACCUUGUUGCCUUCGUCAAUUUGAUACGCAACAGGCGUGGGAAAAGGAUGACAACACACACACUGACAAACUGUCCGGUUAUUUGAAUACAAUGCAGUUAAGUACAGGUGACUCCCACAGCUACAACAUAAUGCUAUAGAGAGCUAAAGGGACAAAGAGACUUCACAUGGUGAUCAGGUUACUGACCUGCUCAGAUUCACACAUUCCUCAAACACCUACUUGUUGGAAGACACACACAGGGACACACACGUGUGCGUGUGUUUGAGUCUGCGCUUAUGUGUCCUUAGGUGUGGGAAUAUUUUACAAAAAGUGAAAGUUUGCCAAUAUGGAACAGUUUCUGAGUUGAAAGAUCUAACAUUAAGGAAGUUCACACACACCCAUGUUCCAAGUUAGUCAAGUUGUCAGUUUAACCUUGUCAGUUUAAAUUGUUUGUCAAGUUGCUAAUUUAACAUGGUCAGCUUAAAUUAGUCAAGUUGUCGGUUUAACCUUGUCAGGAAUCUUGUGGUCUUUUCUCUUCUCUUUUUCUGAUUCUUAAAUCUUUUUUGAAUUGUGAAUAAAAUGGGAAUGAAUUCUGAAUCGAAUUGUAAUGAAAUGGAACCCAGCAAACUGUAGUGUAGUUCUUUGAUCCAACGACUAAGGGUUACUCGUGCACAUACACACAGACGCUGUAUUGCUGUACUGAAGAUACUGUUAGUAAGGUAGGGGUCUCACAAAACUGUGUGUGUGUGAGAGCUGGGGUAUCUGUGUGUGUUUGUGUGUCGAUGAGUUCUUGGGAUGCCUUGUGUUUAUAAUCAUCAAUGUUAUCGGAUUAUCUCAUAAUUGUAUCCUUAUGUUCUUGUAGGAAAAACCAAUUAAA
ensembl:lncRNA